AUUGGCUACCGCCGAAUCGCGCAGGCAGCGCUCAACAUUGCGAUUGGCUGCGCCGUUGCCACGGCAUCGAGCCGCUCCUGCCCCUCCGGCGCGGCGCACGGGAGGCUGCGGGGUUGCCAUGGCGCCGGGCCCUUCCCCUCGGCCGUGAGAGGCUGGGCGGCGGGGGCAGAGGCGGAGCCCCCAUUUCAAACAGCAGCCAAAGCCCCGCGGCGCAGCUGGGCUCCUGGCCACGGGCUCCGGCGAGAACAGCGCAUCACGAUGCAAAAGUACAAGUGAAGACUUUGAAAGAACAGUACCACAGAGAGAAGUGUUCCCCCUCCAUCUCAACACUGACUUUUUCUAGAUCAGCUGUGAUGAAUUCAGUAUGUAAUCUCACACUAAAUCCUGCACGAACCCCGGAGCCUUCCUGUUGUUCCCUGCAGGAUCGGUGCUAUAGAAAAGCACAGUGGUACUGCUCUGACUGAUGAUAGCACCACCACCAUAUCCCCUCUUGUCUUUUCUUUCCCUCUUAUAGCUACGAUGAGAGGAUCUCAACUUUUUUUCCUCCCUGCAAUAAAUUCUCCGGUGAAACAGAGGAAGAACCAGUGAAAUAAGAAGAUUGCUGAUAGAUUUUAAAACUCAGCGUUGUUUGAUCAGGAAAACUACGGAAAGUUUCUCAGGGCUUUCUUUGAAAAGCUGAGAAAACUUCUGCAUGCUUAGUCAAGAUAUGACAAAAUUUGAUUACUCUCAGGAGAAAACAACUCUUGCAUUUCAUGUAUGUGAGAAACAUAACUUGACAAGUCAAAAAGGAAAUAUCUGGACAAACUGAUGCAAAACAAUACAGACCAAAGUGUUUACUAGAAAGCAGACAAUCUCUGGUGGGACUAAGAUACUGUUAUAAAGAAAAUAAUUGAAUUGUAACCACAAUGUGAUGAAGAUAUCAAAUUUUAGCUACAUGCUAAUGUUUUCCAUCCACUUAUUGGUUUCAGUAAACUAAAUGUUAACACCAGAGUUAACAAGUGAUAAAUGGUAGUUGCCUAAACACUUUUAUAUAUUGAGAAAGCUGUGUCAGCACGUGAAACCUUAGCAGGUAAGGUAUUCUGCUGGCAAAAGCAGAAUUGGUGCUUAAGAGUUGGAGACAAAGCACAGAGAAAAACUGGAAAUAAAUGUCUGCAGAACAAUCUGAUAGGGAGACUGAAAUGAAGAUGGCAACUGCUUUAAAAAAAUAAAAAAGGAAAAAUUAUUCUGCUGGACUGAAAUGGCAGGAGACUAAAGCCAAAGGGUAUUCAGAAUAUGUACUCAGAGCUGCUGGAGAAAUGUGAGAUCUUACACCUGGUGAGACACUGUGGUGACUUGCUUGCUGAUGUAAUGACCACCAUGUGUGACGGGAGAAAAUGAUGCAAACCAGCUCAGCACAUCUCUCAUAGGAAGGUGGAUCAGCACUGGCAGCCGGCGGAAACUUCAGGGUGUUAGUCCUGAGGGGAUUUAGAAGCCCUGGCAGCCCUCUGAAAGUGUAACCGCCAAGGGGGAAUCACUGAACAGGAUUGCCUUGUGUGAAAGCAGCGGACAGAGGGCUGGUUUAACUGUAGUGGGCUUCACUGUGGCCUUACUGAGCUGCCCGAAGGUACAGGUCCAUCCUUAGCAUACGGCCCUGACCCCCAUAUCUCAGCUUGGCACGGAUGCAGGACAGACCCGGCUUCAGUCUGUGUGAGCCACACGUGCACACCGGCUGUGCCCAUGCCACCACUCAGCGGCUGCCGGAGCCGUGCUGGCAGCCGGCCCUGGCUGUCCCCAGCCCUCUGCUCCAGCAGACAGCCAGCUCUCCCAGGGCCUCCUUCCCUGGCGCUGCCUGGUACCGGCUGCGUGAGCUGCGUGCCAUGCUGCUCUGCAGGCAGCCGCUGACCCUCCCAGCCCCCUUCCCGUGCUGGGCUGUGCUUGAUGCCUCUGGAGCUUUGCUGCUCCUUUUGCAGAGCCCCUGCUGGGCUGGCCAGAUUUUCACACAUCAGCGGUGACGGGAAGGCUGCUGUAGAGUUGGACAGUGUUUAUAAAACCACAGAAAAUAAUAGGAACUCAAUGGCUGAGAGCAGGGCUGAAACCGCGCUUUUAAAGACGAAAAAAAAAAGGUUUGAUUUCCAGUUUAUUUUUGCAGCUUCGAGCUUCGUGAAGGCUCUCAGACCAUGACAUUUCCACAUUGUAAAUGAUUAUAAAAAUGUGUUUUUAAAAUAGCUUUAAAGGGUCAAUGCUGUUAAUACUUAUGUAGGUGUACCUGCCAGGUUGGACUAAAUGAUCUCCAGAGGUCCCUUCUAACCCCUAUGAUUCUGUGACUCUGUGAACAAGAGACAGAAAUCCGUGCAGACUGAAGUUCCUCACUUCUGUUGGGUCACUGCGCUGAUAUGAUUUCCAGCCCACAGAAAGGUCUCCCUGAGAGAAUGUUUCAUCUGCUCUGACAGGCACUGUCUCUCGCUGGGUGUUUGUAUGAGGCUUACUUCCGUGUUUCUCAACCAGUGGGUUGCAAGCCUGAAGAUAAAGAGGUUAGGAAAGUCAGUCAGGAGGUUGCUUCAGCUUUGAAGCAAAUAGUUUGAGAGAGAUAGGAGUGAGUCCUGUCCCAGUCCCAAAACUGUGACGACAAUGAAGCAUUUUCCACUACACCCUGCUGUGUGGCUGCAGCGUUUUCUGUCUCUGCUUCUAGGGCCCUGGGGGCCAGAAAGCUGGGCGAGGAGAGCAGGAAAAUGUGUGCUUGCACUGCCGGUGCUGGGAGCCAAGCAGACAUGAGUCAGCCCUGAGCUGGAAGCUGUGCAGCUGUCGUCAGUGCGGUGCUGCUGCCGAGCCCUGUCGGGAGGCAAGGUGUGCUCGUUCCAGCUCCAUGCUGCACCAGCAUGACCCUGUGUGGUUGGGGAAGAGUUUGGGCUGUGGUUCAGAACUGGGACAAAGCUUGCUUGCCUCUGCCUGCCAAAGACAAUGUGGACGUGCUCUGAGUCUGUGUUGUUUCUCUCAUAAUAAAUGUUUGAUUGAAGCUUGUAAGUUAUGUUUGUCUUUUUUUAAUUUGGCUCAGGAGUAGGGCAGGAGGCCCGUCUGUAAUGUACUGUUUCCUUUAGGUCCAACCUGGCAAAUUCUGACUACCUUUGAAAUAAGCAGCAUUGCAAAACAAUCCUGAGUGCUUCUGCAGACGAGCACAUUC